UUCUUUUCUCUCCAUAUCCCCAGGGUUUCCUUGUCCCUCUCAAUGUAUCCUUCCCACAUUCUGUCCCCCUAAUGAUUCACUGACCUCCAUGUAGCCACCCUGAACAUACAGGUGUGCAUUUGUGAGCAGGGCCUGCCAGGGUAUGAGCUUUGACUUUGCUUCCUGCCUCAGUUUCCUCCUUUGGGAGAUGGGAAGAGGGAUGGCAGUGCCUGUCUCAGGCACCAUGAGAUGAAGUGUCACGGCACUCGGGAUAGCCCAGUAAGUCACGGGUACCCUGUAGGAUUUCUGUUCUCCUUGUUGGCAUUCUGAGUUCUCUGCAGCCUGCCCCUCCCACCAUCAUCCCAGAGGGUCACUCUGGGGCUC
rnacentral:lncRNA from 1 species